GGAACCACCCGAUCCCAUCCCGAACUCGGAAGUGAAACGCAGCUGCGCCGAUGGUAGUGUGGCUUAAGCCAUGCAAGAGUAGGUCAUCGCCAGGG
rnacentral:rRNA from 2 species